CCCCAGCAAGGCAGAGGCCAAGCACAGCAGAAACCCAACUCGGCAAAAGCUCCAGUGGUGGAAGGUGAACACGAAGAAUACCCAGUACAGUGGAUGUGACUAGAAGCCCAGUGUGCUGGAAACUGAGACAGCAAAAAAAACUUGGCAGCAAGCUCACACAGCUCAGUCUCAGAUUCCAGAAGACCUCCGGAUAAGGAAACAGGGAUGAGGUGAAGGCAAAUGUGACCUCCAAACAGACACAACCUAAUGAACCUCCAAGCAUUGAGCUUUGCAAGUGAAGGCUGACAUUAAGACUAGUGAAUUGCCUGAUGAGGGGAUGCCAAACAUCUACAGCUUUGUAAGAUGAGGAUGGAUGUGGACAUGGAGAGGAGCGCUGGAGGCAUUGUGAAGUCCAAGAUCAAGAUACAAACAUUCAGCCCAUAACACAAAAUGGGACAUGGGCUCCAUCCCUGGUCAGGGAAGAUCCCACAUGAUGUGGGGCAACUAAACCUGCGCACCACAACUGCUGAAGCCCGCACACCUAGAGCCUGUGCUCCACAGCGAGAGAAACCACGGCGCUGAGAAGUCCAUGCACCAUAAGGAAGAGUAGCCCUGCUUACGGCAACUGGAGAAAGCCCGCAUGCAGGAUAAAAACCAGUGCAGCCAAAAGUAAAUAAAUAAAUCAAACUUGACAAGUUCCUUGAAAUUAUUUUCAAAUUUUCAAAAAGAAAGUUUUAAUUGUUCUCUCACAUGAUUAGAUUUGAUGUCAAAAUGACCUCUUUACUAGUAGAAAAAGGGUUAGGUGGUAAAGCCUAUGAUCUGCAGUGGCCAAAGAGUUGUUUAAAUGCUCCUUUGUAGUUUCCUGAAGCAAAAUAACUAGAGAAGGAAAGACUAGAAUCUCAAGUAGAUUUUGUAGUAGAACACUAGAAGCUGUGACUCCAUUAGAUUACAUGGUAAUGGGGAAUUAAGGUUGUAGAUGCACUUAAAUUUGCUAAUCAGCUAACUCUAAAAUAUUACAGAUUAUCUGGGGCUUGCCACAUAGCUCAGUUGGUAAAGAAUCUGCCUGCUGAUGCAGGAGACGUGGGUUUGAUCCCUGAGUCAGAAAUAUCCCCUGAAGUAGGAAAUGACAACCUGCUCCAAUAUUCUUGCCUAGAAAAUUCCAUGGACAGAGAAGCCUGGCAGGCUACUAAGUGACAUGACUUUUUGUAUUUUCUUUUUGUAUUUUAAUACUAAAUUCAAACUUUUAUUCCAUGAGGCAACUUAGAACACUAGGGUUAUGACUAUUUAUAUUAGUAAUAGCAAUAACAUCAGUAAAUCAUCUUUAUAAAAUUAUAUAUAAUCUCUUUUGAAUCCUACAAAAGUAUUCUAAAGGAGUCCAGAGAUGAGAAAUGUUUUUCUUAAAUGUUUAUAAUAAGUGGAGCUAGAAUCUGGAUCCAGGCAAGACCUUUGACUCAACUUCUUACAUUCUUCCACGGAAGUUCUUUGCUGAGUUCAUUCAUCCAUUCACUCACUCAUCAAAUAGUUAUGGAAUGCCCAUAAUAUACUAAGGAAUGUGCUACCACAGUCUGUUAUAGCAUAUUGUAUAUUUAUUUUAACAUGUAAUAAAGAUUGAUAACCUGUUAAUGCAUAGCAGUGGAAUUGUCAUAGGGCAUAUUCUAUUUUCCUACUUGCUCAUGACAAUAAGGAAAGGCCAGAAUUUUAUGAGAUUCCAAAUGGGGACUCCAUUUUCAGGAAUGUACCUAGUUUUGAUGUAAAACUUUUAUUUUUUUUAAUUUAAUUUUAUUUUUAAACUUUACAUAAUUGUAUUAGUAAGAACAAACUCUUCAUAUAUCUUUAUGCGUCUGCCCAUAAACAUGAAGGUAAUUAGCUCUUUCACUUUUAUCAAAAUCUUUAAGUGGUGUUUCACAUGGAAGAAAAAGAGAUGUAUGGUCUCAUUUCUAAUAAAAAUAAUAUUUGAUUAGCUUAUUUCUUUAAUAUGAUAUAAAUGAUCAAACUCCCGAUACCUAUUCCAAGACUGAUUCACUGUAAUUAUCUACCAGUGAAUUAUUCUCAUUCAAUUUAUUCAGAACAGUAACUCUGAAACUUAUUUGACCAUAAAACUCUAAAAAUUAUAUUUUCCAAACUCCAAAGGCUCAUGAACUCUAAUGCUAGCAUACAGGAGAAAGGAAAAACUUGUCUCCUAGAAAAACUAAUAGCUUCAUGGGCUGACACUAGAUUUAAUUUAUAUGUUUAAUAUACAAUAACCACCAGAUACAUCAUCCAUACACAAUUUGAAUCAGUAGUCAUUUACAAGAUGACACACGAUGAGAUGGUUAUUGGAAGGGGCUGCCUGUGUGUAGAUGGGCAGUUUGAAUAUCAUGCCUUCAUUCAUGUCACAGUAAUUUUUCUAGUCUUCUCUGAGGUGACACACCUCAGGCAAUUUUUGCAUUAAAAAUAACUAUCUAUGUCUGCAUCUCUAUUCCCAGUAGCAUUGACAUAUAUACAACACCAUGGAUAAAAUAGAUAGCUAGUGGGAAACUGCUAUAUAACACAAGGAGCUCAGCUUGGUGCUCUGCGAUGACCUAGAGUGUUGGAAUGGGGGUGUGAUGGAGGCUAAAGAGGGAGGGGAUGUAAGUAUAUACAUAGCUGAUUCACUUUGAUGUAGAGCAGAAACUAAUACAAUACUGUAAAGCAAUUGUGCUCCAAUAAUAAAAUUUAAAAAUAACUAAGUAAAUCUAUGCAAUUUUUGAACCCACUUACGUGAUACAUUUUAGAAAAACAAUGUUCCUAGUAUCUGGUUCCCCUGAAGUUUUGUUUGUUAAUUUUUCCAGAACACAAAUUGAUACCACACCAAGCAGUUUGGGAAAAGCUAAUCUCAUUUCUCUCUGUUUGCUGCUUCUAGUCACAACACUGAGACGGCGGUUUUAUAAACACAGAGUUUAUAUGUGACUGUAUUUAUCUCUGGCUUCACUCCAAAAUGAAACAGAAAUUACAUCGGCAUAAUCAUUUCCUUUGUUUCUUUCCUCUGGCCUGUAUCACUGACAGUGUUCUGGUGACAGAAUGACAACAUCAUGCCAACUUUUAGUCACUUACAGGGUAAAUUCCUUUUUUAAAAGUGUCACACUGGGAACAUAAAUGCAAAGACUGGAUCCCCAUGUGCAAAGUGAAUAGAAGUGAUUUUAUAAUAAGCCAGAGCCUCUAAACAGAGAUCUAUUUGGAUUUAGAUAAUUGAGCUCAUCUUUAUCAAUGAAAUUUUCCUCAACACUCUUUCCUUCUUCUCUGCCUAACGACUUCUUUUCUUAGACUUCCUUUCCUGAGGCCCAAGUUCAGACUAGCUAUGUUUCCACUGUGCUCCUGGACACAUUCCAAUUUUCCAAGCACAGCACUUUCUCCCACUGUGAUUUCUCAAUCUCCCAAUGUGAUUUCCUCUUUGUUUUGGUGUAUUUACUACUGGAGUGUAAAGUCUUUAUGGACAGAGACUAUUUCUCUGGUUCACUGUUGUAUUGUUAGUGCCUUGCAUGAUAUCUGGUACAUAGUAUGUGCUCAAUAAAUAUUUGGGAAAUCUCUCCCCUCUUCAUAUAUAUAUGCACACAUAUACAUACAUAUAUGUGUGUGUAUCAAAAUAAAGACAGAUCAAGAAUGAACAAUUAUAAGGGCAUAAUGUCUCAUGUUAUAAUCAUAGUGUUGGUAACUAUGCAAUGAAUGCUAAGAAUGCAAUGUCAACAAUCUCUGAUAUCUUUACUAUAUAUUACAUUGGCUUAAUACUUGUUAACAAUUGAUUGGCUGAAAAUUUCAAUGCUUAAAAUGAGUGGUUUUUUUCUAAAUAAAUUUCCUAAACUGAGUAUUGAAUAAUGUCAGCAGUCCAUGGGGUCACUAGGAGUCAGAUACUACUGAGUGACUUCACUUUAUUUUUUCACUUUCAUGCAUUGGAGAAGGCAAUGGCACCCCACUCCAGUACUCUUGCCUGGAGAAUCCCAG
ensembl:lncRNA